rnacentral:rRNA from 1 species
GACAGAGGAUGCAAGCGUUGUCCGGAAUUACUGGGCGUAAAGGGCGCGCAGGCGGCCCUUGAAGUCAGGCGUGAAAGCCCCGGGCUCAACCUGGGAGGUGCGCUUGAUACUCGAGGGCUUGAGUGCGGGAGAGGAGAGUGGAAUUCCCAGUGUAGAGGUGAAAUUCGUAGAUAUUGGGAAGAACACCGGUGGCGAAGGCGGCUCUCUGGACCGUAACUGACGCUGAGGCGCGAAAGCGUGGGGAGCAAACAGG